rnacentral:rRNA from 1 species
UGGGGAAUUUUGGACAAUGGGCGAAAGCCUGAUCCAGCAAUGCCGCGUGUGUGAAGAAGGCCUUCGGGUUGUAAAGCACUUUUGUCCGGAAAGAAAUCCUUGGCUCUAAUACAGUCGGGGGAUGACGGUACCGGAAGAAUAAGCACCGGCUAACUACGUGCCAGCAGCCGCGGUAAUACGUAGGGUGCAAGCGUUAAUCGGAAUUACUGGGCGUAAAGCGUGCGCAGGCGGUUUGCUAAGACCGAUGUGAAAUCCCGGGCUCAACCUGGGAACUGCAUUGGUGACUGGCAGGCUAGAGUAUGGCAGAGGGGGGUAGAAUUCCACGUGUAGCAGUGAAAUGCGUAGAGAUGUGGAGGAAUACCGAUGGCGAAGGCAGCCCCCUGGGCCAAUACUGACGCUCAUGCACGAAAGCGUGGGGAGCAAACAGGAUUAGAUACCCUGGUAGUCCACGCCCUAAACGAUGUCAACUAGUUGUUGGGGAUUCAUUUCCUUAGUAACGUAGCUAACGCGUGAAGUUGACCGCCUGGGGAGUACGGUCGCAAGAUUAAACUUAAUGAAUUGACGGGGUCAUAGCUG